rnacentral:siRNA from 1 species
CUUGUAGUGUUUUUAUGGUGUU